UGCCAUGAGGUAGUGGCAGAAAACCAAUAUGUCUAUUUGACAAGAAUGGAUAGGGGCCCUUUUGAAUUUAUGUCCUUGCUCACUCGGAGGAAGUCAGAUCAACUGCUGACAGGACUCAGAUGCCCUCCUGGUUCCUGAUCCCAUAGGAGCACAGGCAACAAUCAUGGCCCCAUUUCAGUAGUUUGCUUCAAUCCCUCUUGUUGCUCAGAUUCUGUCCAUUGUCACUAGUGAUUGUCAUUAAAAGGUCUGUGCAGUGGUGCGUGAGGUCCACACGGACUGCCGAUCUCAACACCGUGGUCAGAGGAGGACGCGGGACUGUGGGUGCAUCGCCCUGGACCAGGGCAAACAGCUUCACCAAGUGUUAGCAGGUGAUGUGGAUGUACCAGGGAUUAGAUAGGGGGACGGAGAAGAGAGAGUACUGGAUGCUCUGAAG